rnacentral:rRNA from 1 species
GACGAACGCUGGCGGCGUGCUUAACACAUGCAAGUCGAACGGAAAGGCCCUGCUUUUGUGGGGUGCUCGAGUGGCGAACGGGUGAGUAACACGUGAGUAACCUGCCCUUGACUUUGGGAUGACUUCAGGAAACUGGGGCUAAUACCGGAUAGGAGCUCCUGCUGCAUGGUGGGGGUUGGAAAGUUUCGGCGGUUGGGGAUGGACUCGCGGCUUAUCAGCUUGUUGGUGGGGUAGUGGCUUACCAAGGCUUUGACGGGUAGCCGGCCUGAGAGGGUGACCGGCCACAUUGGGACUGAGAUACGGCCCAGACUCCUACGGGAGGCAGCGGUGGGGAAUAUUGCACAAUGGGCGGAAGCCUGAUGCAGCAACGCCGCGUGCGGGAUGACGGCCUUCGGGUUGUAAACCGCUUUCGCCUGUGACGAAGCGUGAGUGACGGUAAUGGGUAAAGAAGCACCGGCUAACUACGUGCCAGCAGCCGCGGUGAUACGUAGGGUGCGAGCGUUGUCCGGAUUUAUUGGGCGUAAAGGGCUCGUAGGUGGUUGAUCGCGUCGGAAGUGUAAUCUUGGGGCUUAACCCUGAGCGUGCUUUCGAUACGGGUUGACUUGAGGAAGGUAGGGGAGAAUGGAAUUCCUGGUGGAGCGGUGGAAUGCGCAGAUAUCAGGAGGAACACCAGUGGCGAAGGCGGUUCUCUGGGCCUUUCCUGACGCUGAGGAGCGAAAGCGUGGGGAGCGAACAGGCUUAGAUACCCUGGUAGUCCACGCUGUAAACGGUGGGUACUAGGUGUGGGGUCCAUUCCACGGGUUCCGUGCCGUAGCUAACGCUUUAAGUACCCCGCCUGGGGAGUACGGCCGCAAGGCUAAAACUCAAAGGAAUUGACGGGGCCCCGCACAAGCGGCGGAGCAUGCGGAUUAAUUCGAUGCAACGCGUAGAACCUUACCUGGGUUUGACAUGGAUCGGGAGUGCUCAGAGAUGGGUGUGCCUCUUUUGGGGUCGGUUCACAGGUGGUGCAUGGCUGUCGUCAGCUCGUGUCGUGAGAUGUUGGGUUAAGUCCCGCAACGAGCGCAACCCUUGUUCACUGUUGCCAGCACGUUAUGGUGGGGACUCAGUGGAGACCGCCGGGGUCAACUCGGAGGAAGGUGGGGAUGACGUCAAGUCAUCAUGCCCCUUAUGUCCAGGGCUUCACGCAUGCUACAAUGGCUGGUACAGAGAGUGGCGAGCCUGUGAGGGUGAGCGAAUCUCGGAAAGCCGGUCUCAGUUCGGAUUGGGGUCUGCAACUCGACCUCAUGAAGUCGGAGUCGCUAGUAAUCGCAGAUCAGCAACGCUGCGGUGAAUACGUUCCCGGG